AAAUUACAAACUGUUGUUAGUCUCCACAAGAGUUUAGAGCGGAAAAGAAACACUGUGGCUUCCCAAAAAAAGAAUGAUUCUCUGUACUAAAAUUCUCUGUUCAAAAAUUAAGCAUCUGUAGGAUUUUAAUGAUUGCUCACCUCCAGUUACCACCACCUUUUUCAUCUAUACACUUGACUGGAUCCUCAGUUUAAUACAAUUCUUGCUUGAUGUUAAGAGGCUCUGAUCUUCAACUGUGAAUGAACACAAACAUUAGUUUCUAUAGCAAACUUCCAGCUACAUGGUGGGGGUGUUGUAGCUUUGCAAAGCAUUUUUUCCCUUCUAUUUUGAGAGUCCUUGUUAUGAUGGGUUGACUUCAUUUGUUUCAGUCCUGGGGCUAAGGUAUCACUUUCUAAAAAGUAUGUUUUCUGGUUCGUUUUUUCCCCCCUCUCCUUUCCAUUACCAUCUGCUGUAGAUUGGCUUCUUUUUGCAACCAUGGGAAAUAUGUUGGUAGGUCUCUGCUAUGUAGUAAACUGAAAAAAACAUUGUUUAUGAACAAGCUGCAGUCUGUCCUCUUUCUGAUGAAACUUUACCUACAAGAUAAAAAAGGGACUAAAAUCUUGAUCUCCUUUAUCUGGCUGUUGAUAAAUGAGAAAAAUAACUUUUAGAACAAAUUUAUCAUUGUUUACCGGCUUGACAUUGGCCAGGUCAUAUAAGAACAAGAACUUGCGAAAGUUAAGUUUUUUUAAAGUACUGCUCCCUAAAUCACAAGCUAGCAUAGCCUCUAGCCAUGCUGGCUGGAGUAUUUUUGGGAGCCAUAGUCCAGUAAAGUAACUUUUUGAAGCUCAUGUGAGAACAAUUUCAGAAUGUUGGGUAUAGGUUGUUAUAGAGCAAAUAUGAUGCAUAGCUAAGGAUACAGACUAGCCCCCUUUAUAAAGAAUAACCAUGUGCAAGUUGAAAUGAGACUGAUAUGAAAACAAAGUUCCUAUACGUUGCAUUGCAAAAAAAAACAUUACACAUGUUUUCAUUAAGUGUCCUCUUUCAAGCAAACAUGGUUUUGUCUCUUUUUUUCUGGCUCAAAGUAGCCAUUAAAACAAUGGCUUUAGACAUGUAUCUACAGUUUGCAAAGUACAAAUGCAAGCUGUUAGAAUUCCACUUCUGAAAAAGAAAUCAGUACAUCCAAAGUCUGUGUUCAUGUGACUAUACAGUGAAACUGAAUACGUUUUUGAAUGGCGUUAAAAUUGUCUGAUAAGUGAAUGAGUCUGUAGACUGUGAUUUCCCUGAAUAAAGUAAACAGGAAUUUUGUGUCUGCA
rnacentral:lncRNA from 1 species